rnacentral:rRNA from 1 species
AACGCUAGCUACAGGCUUAACACAUGCAAGUCGAGGGGCAGCAUAUUUAUAGCAAUAUAAAUGAUGGCGACCGGCGCACGGGUGAGUAACACGUAUCCAACCUGCCGUUUACUCGGGGAUAGCCUUUCGAAAGAAAGAUUAAUACCCGAUGGUAUAUAUUGAUUUCAUGGUCUUUAUAUUAAAGAAUUUCGGUAAACGAUGGGGAUGCGUUCCAUUAGGCAGUUGGCGGGGUAACGGCCCACCAAACCUACGAUGGAUAGGGGAUCUGAGAGGAAGGUCCCCCACAUUGGAACUGAGACACGGUCCAAACUCCUACGGGAGGCAGCAGUGAGGAAUAUUGGUCAAUGGGCGUAGGCCUGAACCAGCCAAGUAGCGUGAAGGAUGACUGCCCUAUGGGUUGUAAACUUCUUUUAUAAGGGAAUAAAGUGGAGUAUGUAUACUCUUUUGUAUGUACCUUACGAAUAAGGAUCGGCUAACUCCGUGCCAGCAGCCGCGGUAAUACGGAGGAUCCAAGCGUUAUCCGGAUUUAUUGGGUUUAAAGGGAGCGUAGGCGGAUGUUUAAGUCAGUUGUGAAAGUUUAAGGCUCAACCUUGAAAUUGCAGUUGAUACUGGACGUCUUGAGUGCAUUAAAUGUGGGCGGAAUUCGUGGUGUAGCGGUGAAAUGCUUAGAUAUCACGAAGAACUCCGAUUG